rnacentral:rRNA from 1 species
UACGUAGGCAGCGAGCGUUGUUCGGAAUUAUUGGGCGUAAAGAGUGUGUAGGCGGUGCUCCAAGUCUGUUGUGAAAUCUCCCGGCUUAACUGGGAGGGUGCGGCGGAAACUGGAAUGCUAGAGGGUGGGAGAGGUAAGCGGAAUUCCUGGUGUAGCGGUGAAAUGCGUAGAUAUCAGGAGGAACACCAACGGCGAAAGCACUCUGCUGGGCCGACACUGACACUGAGAGACGAAAGCUAGGGGAGCGAAUGGG